CCUAUGAAUAGUUUAAAUGGCCGCAGUAUUUUGACUGUGCAAAGGUAGCAUAAUCAUUUGUCUUUUAAUUGGAGACUGGAAUGAAGGAGGUGACGAAAUUUAGGCUAUUUAGUUGUAAAAUAAAAUUAACAUAAAGGUCAGAAGGUCUUUAUACACCAAAGGGACGAUAAGACCCUAUAAAACUUUACUAUAUAAUAAAUUAUUUAGAUUAAAUUAAAAUUAUAGUUUAACUGGGGCGGUUUAUAUAAAAACAAUAGUAGUAAAAAUAUAUUAAAUAAAUUUAGAGAGCUCUAAUAGGAAAUGAAUAAGUUACUUUAGGGAUAACAGCAUAAUUCUCCCAGAGAGUCCUAAUUGGCGGGAGAGCUUAUGACCUCGAUGUUGAAUUGGGAUAUCUAAUAUAAGUAGAAAUAUAUUAAGAUAGUCUGUUCGACUAUUAAAUUCCC
rnacentral:rRNA from 1 species